rnacentral:rRNA from 1 species
CGCGUGGGAUUAGGUAGUUGGUGGGGUAAUGCCUUACCAUGGCGGACGAUCAUUAGCUGUUCUGAAGAGGAUGUUCAGCCACACUGGGAGUGAGACACGGCCCAGAUUCUUACGGGAGGCAGCAGUGGGGAAUCUUAGACAAUGGGCGCAACCUUGUUCUAUCACAUGCCGCGUGAUGGAUAAAGCCCUUAGGGUUGUAAAGUUAUUUUCACCGGGGAGCCGUUAAUGCCGUUUCCGGCGAAAUGAAGUCCGGGUUAAUUCCGUGCCAGCAGCCGCGUUAUUACGGAGGGGGUAAGCGUUUUUGGAAAUUACUGGGGGUAAAGCGUCAGGUGGGGGGAUUUGAAAUUCAGGGGGGAAAUCCCGGGGUUCAACCCGGGAACGGCCUUGAAAACUCGAAGUCUGGAUUUCGGAAGAGGGGAGUAGGAAUUCGGAGUGUGGAGGUGAAAUUCGUAGAUAUUGGGAGGAACACCCAGUGGCGAAGGGCGGCUUCACUUGGCACGAUAUCUGAGGUUGAGGGUGGGAAAGGCGUGGGGAGCAAACCAGGAUUAGAUACCCCUGGUAGUCCCACGCCGUAAAACGAUGAUAAGCCAGCUGUCGGGG